CCUUGGAUCCGGUCCAGUUUGCGCUGUCGUCAAACCAUAGAUUAGAGGAGGAGGACGAAGACUAUGACAAUGAAGAAUGACGGUGACUCCAGCGUGGAUUUAGUAGGUAGACAUGACAUGAUGUACAUCCUAGCAGGCCCAGCUUGACAAUGUAGUAGCAAUUCUCUUAGUAGUAUGUGUACCCGCAGACGCUGCAGAAGUAAUUUAGGAUGUCACAUAUGUUGAUGGCUCAGUAGCCAGUAGUAGCUAUAGUAUCUUUUGUGUAGCAACCAUAUAACUAGACAGGUUCACCGGUUGUAAAUCACGGCCGCUCUUAGAUCAGAUGGUAUGUCGCAAUGCUUAUGCUUGUUAGCUGUGGAUUUUUCUCUCUUGCUUUGGUGGUUAAUGCUGACAAUCUUGUGUUGUUUCUGUGAUGCAAG
rnacentral:lncRNA from 1 species